rnacentral:rRNA from 1 species
UACGAAGGGAGCUAGCGUUGUUCGGAAUCACUGGGCGUAAAGCGCACGUAGGCGGAUUUGUCAGUCAGGGGUGAAAUCCCGGGGCUCAACCUCGGAACUGCCUUCGAUACUGCGGGUCUCGAGUCCGGGAGAGGUGAGUGGAAUUCCUAGUGUAGAGGUGAAAUUCGUAGAUAUUAGGAAGAACACCAGUGCGAAGGCGACUAACUGGACAUGUAUUGACGCUGAGGUGCGAAAGCGUGGGGGAGCAAACGGGG